GGAGCGGUAGUUCAGUUGGUUAGAAUACCGGCCUGUCACGCCGGGGGUCGCGGGUUCGAGUCCCGUCCGCUCCGCCA
rnacentral:tRNA from 1506 species